rnacentral:rRNA from 1 species
GACGUAGGGGGCGAGCGUUGUCCGGAGUUACUGGGCGUAAAGGGCACGCAGGCGGUCAGGGGCGUGUGCGGGGACAGUGGGCGGCUUAACUGCCCAAGCGUCGCACAAACGGCCUGACUGGAGGGCCAGAGAGGGACCUGGAAUUCCGGGUGGAGCGGUGAAAUGCGUAGAGAUCCGGAGGAACACCAAGGGCGCAGGCAAGGUCCUGGCUGGUUACUGACGCUCGGGUGCGAAAGCCAGGGGAGCGAACGGG